rnacentral:rRNA from 1 species
CCAAUAGCGUAUAUUAAAGUUGUUGCAGUUAAAAAGCUCGUAGUUGAAUUUCGGGAUCAAAGUGUCGGUCGUGCCUCGGUAUGCACUGGUACUUUUGAUUUCUCCCUUCUGAAGAACUUUGAUGUCAUUAAUUUGGUGUCUUAGGGAAUCAGGACUGUUACUUUGAAAAAAUUAGAGUGUUUAAAGCAAGCUCACGCUUGAAUACAUUAGCAUGGAAUAAUGAAAUAGGACGUUUGAUUCUAUUUUGUUGGUUUCUAGGAUCGACGUAAUGAUUAAUAGGGAUAGUUGGGGGCAUUAGUAUUCAAUUGUCAGAGGUGAAAUUCUUGGAUUUAUUGAAGACUAACUACUGCGAAAGCAUUUGCCAAGGAUGUUUUCAUUAAUCAAGAACGAAAGUUAGGGGAUCGAAGACGAUCAGAUACCGUCGUAGUCUUAACCAUAAACUAUGCCGACUAGGGAUCGGAUGAUGUUAAUUUUUUAAUGACUCAUUCGGCGCCUUACG